UUUUUUUUUUUUUCCUUCUUAGUCGUGUGUACAUCAUUGGGAAUGGAGGGAAAUAAAUGACUGGAUGGUCGCUGCUUUUUAAGUUUCAAAUUGACAUUCCAGACAAGCGGUGCCUGAGCCCGUGCCUGUCUUCAGAUCUUCACAGCACAGUUCCUGGGAAGGUGGAGCCACCAGCCUCUCCUUGACUCAUGCCCAAAGUUACGGAGGACCCAGCAACCAUCUCCUGCAGCCCCUGGAAACCUCUUGACUCUUCUGUGAUGUCCCCAGUGAUCCAGCAGCCCUGGCCUUCUUUUGAUGGCUUGAACAUUUGGUCUUCAUUGAACAAAUAACUGGGAGAUGAAACAGGAAGCUCUAUGACACACUUGAUCGAAUAUGACAGACACCGAAAAUCACGACUCAGCCCCCUCCAGCACCUCUACCUGUUGCCCGCCGAUCACAGCCGGAAUGCAGCUGAAAGAUUCCCUGGGGCCUGGUUCCAACCGCCCACUGUGGACUCUGAGGCCUCUGCAUUUGCGGGUGGUCUGCCUGUGAUAUUUUGGUCAUGGGCUGGUCUGGUCGGUUUCCCAUUUGUCUGGCCAGUCUCUAUGUGUCUUAAUCCCUUGUCCUUCAUUAAAAGCAAAACUAAA
rnacentral:lncRNA from 1 species